GGUGAAGAAUUUGGGGUUGUAGGUCUUAGCAGUCUGGAAUGGGUCCAGUUAUCUGAACUGUUGAGACUCUACCUAAAACAGGAAUAGAAAAUCCAACUAUGAGAACUAAGAGAUGAGCUUGAUAGAGCGACUCUUGAGAAUGAUAACAUUUUGUAUCAAAUAUAAAAAAUAUUAAGAUCUAAGAGGUUUAACUAACUUUUUUUGAAUCUUCUCCAGAAACUUUUAUUGUGGCUGCCAAUAUUUUGGACAGAUCCUUGGCUUUUCUGAAGUUGAAACCUAAAAUUCAUCUUUCACUGGGGUCUGUUGUUUAUGCUGAUUGCCAGAAUAGUUGAAAAAGAAUGCCAUGUUUUAUCUACUCAUGAAGUAAUCUUGAUUCGUCAAUGUAAACGCACUGCUUCUUCUGACAGAAAACUGAUGGAAAAAUAAUUUCAGAAAAAAAUUUGGAACUAUGAAUUGGAACGUACUGUACCUUAAACUUCUUUUGCUUCUAUAAGACUCAUAUUUCUUUAUAUUUGAGAAAGGAAAGAAAUAUUGGGCCUUAUAAACCGGAAGCUCAGCUGAAAACUUGCAAUUUUUUGCUAAUGUUUUCAAAAGCAAAACCAUCUGUAUUAGUUUUGUGUCUUCUUAAUCUGGAAGUAGAACUGUUGUAAUUUACUGAAUUAUUGAAAAAUGUCCUGCUUCUUAUAAGGCAUUCAAAGAUUAAUGACACCGAAUUCUUUUAGUGGAGGGAACUAGUUUCUAAAUGCCUAGCUGAAUAUUUUCUCUAUGUGUUGGAAGAAAUUGCUUUGCAUUGUUUCUAGAUGCAGAGCCCAGACCCUCCAAGACAGCUACUGUGGUGUUCCUAAAUUGUCAACAAUAUUGGAGGAUAACUGUCCUGAUGAAAGUGAAAGUGAGGACUCUGAAGAUGUGAGUUGUGGGGAAUGAAGUCUCAGCAGCUUUCAUCGCAGAGAUCAAAGACGUACAUCUUUUUGAACUUGAAAGUGACACAGUCUCUGUGCUU
rnacentral:lncRNA from 1 species